AGCGAACGUUUGCGGCGGGCCUAACACAUGCAAGUCGAACGGGCUAGCAAUAGUCAGUGGCGCACGGGUGCGUAACACGUGGGUAAUCAACCCUUCAGCUCGGGAUAACGCCUUGAAAGGGGCGCUAAUACCGGAUACGACGCGAGGAGCUUCGGCUGCUUGCGGAAAGAUUCGCAAGGAUCUCUGAAGGACGAGCCUGCGGCCCAUCAGCUAGUUGGUGAGGUAAGAGCUCACCAAGGCGAAGACGGGUAGCUGGUCUGAGAGGAUGAUCAGCCACACUGGAACUGAGACACGGUCCAGACUCCUACGGGAGGCAGCAGUGGGAAUAUUGGACAAUGGGCGAAAGCCUGAUCCAGCAAUGCCGCGUGAGUGAUGAAGGCCUUAGGGUUGUAAAGCUCUUUUACCCGAGAUGAUAAUGACAGUAUCGGGAGAAUAAGCUCCGGCUAACUCCGUGCCAGCAGCCGCGGUAAU
rnacentral:rRNA from 1 species